UGGGGGAAUUUUGGACAAUGGGCGAAAGCCUGAUCCAGCAAUGCCGCGUGUGUGAAGAAGGCCUUCGGGUUGUAAAGCACUUUUGUCCGGAAAGAAAUCCUUGGCUCUAAUACAGUCGGGGGAUGACGGUACCGGAAGAAUAAGCACCGGCUAACUACGUGCCAGCAGCCGCGGUAAUACGUAGGGUGCAAGCGUUAAUCGGAAUUACUGGGCGUAAAGCGUGCGCAGGCGGUUUGCUAAGACCGAUGUGAAAUCCCCGGGCUCAACCUGGGAACUGCAUUGGUGACUGGCAGGCUAGAGUAUGGCAGAGGGGGGUAGAAUUCCACGUGUAGCAGUGAAAUGCGUAGAGAUGUGGAGGAAUACCGAUGGCGAAGGCAGCCCCCUGGGGCCAAUACUGACGCUCAUGCACGAAAAGCGUGGGGAGCAAACAGGAUUAGAUACCCUGGUAGUCCCACGCCCUAAACGAUGUCAACUAGUUGUUGGGGGAUUCAUUUCCUUAGUAACGUAGCUAACGCGUGAAGUUGACCGCCUGGGGAGUACGGUCGCAAGAUUAAAACUCAAGGAAUUGACGGGGUCAUAGCUGUUUCCU
rnacentral:rRNA from 1 species